ACAUGCAAGCCGAGCGGUAGAGAGUAGCUUGCUACUCUUGAGAGCGGCGCACGGGUGCGUAACACGUGUGCAACCUACCUUUAUCUGGGGGAUAGCCUUUCGAAAGGAAGAUUAAUACCCCAUAAUAUAUUGACUGGCAUCAGUUGAUAUUGAAAACUCCGGUGGAUAGAGAUGGGCACGCGCAAGAUUAGAUAGUUGGUGAGGUAACGGCUCACCAAGUCAAUGAUCUUUAGGGGUCCUGAGAGGGAGAUCCCCCACACUGGUACUGAGACACGGACCAGACUCCUACGGGAGGCAGCAGUGAGGAAUAUUGGACAAUGGGUGAGAGCCUGAUCCAGCCAUCCCGCGUGAAGGAUGACGGCCCUAUGGGUUGUAAACUUCUUUUGUACAGGGAUAAACCUACCCUCGUGAGGGUAGCUGAAGGUACCGUACGAAUAAGCACCGGCUAACUCCGUGCCAGCAGCCGCGGUAAUACGGAGGGUGCAAGCGUUAUCCAGAUUUAUUGGGUUUAAAGGGUCCGUAGGCGGAUCUGUAAGUCAGUGGUGAAAUCUCGCAGCUUAACUGCGAAACUGCCAUUGAUACUGCAGGUCUUGAGUAAAUUUGAAGUGGCUGGAAUAAGUAGUGUAGCGGUGAAAUGCAUAGAUAUUACUUAGAACACCAAUUGCGAAGGCAGGUCACUAAGAUUUAACUGACGCUGAGG
rnacentral:rRNA from 1 species